UUUUUUUCAGUUGAAGAUUCCAGACCUGACUCUCUGUUCUGUCACAUCAGUUUGACAUUGACUUCGGUGGAGUCAAGUCAGUGUAAAACUAGUGCAAUGGAAUGGAAACAGGCCUGCUACUUGCACACUGAACUGAUCACUUUCUGAAAAUCAAACUCAAGAUAUUUUUCAGCUUGGAUAUGAAGAAAAUGGAGGGAUCCAGAAUCAUUACUCAACUUUGAAAAUCUUGGACAACAAAUUUAAUUUGUCAAGAAAACUAAUCAGGAUUUCAUGAACUCUUAUAGUUUCCUUCAAUCUGCACCUCCAUAAUUUGGCAGCUAAUUCUUAUUGGCCAACUAGCAUCUACAAGAAGUACUGCAGUCACCAGAGAGGAUGACUAAGAUUUAUUCCAGCAUCAGCAAAACCACUUUUAUUUUUUUCCAGGCUCACACCCACGCUAUUUUACAUUUGACCAUCUCGUGGCUGGCAAUUUCUUCCCCUCAUGCCAGAAUUAUCCACAGCUGAAUUUUGGCUGGUUUGUUACAACAAAUGCUCCCGCUGCUUUGACAGAGGAGCUUUUCCCAGCAUGCUCCUUUUUCAGUUGCUGGUCUUUUAAAUUCUGAAUAAACCUACAAAACCCAUUUUAGAAGCUGCAGGCUGUAACUACGUCCCAUGAAUUUGGCAUCACAGACCUUUGGUGCUGGAAAUGUAAGAAGCAGGUUUGGUUAAAAAAGAACAGCAGGUGGCGUUUGGGAACAUUGAAGCGAAUUGAGAUUUUCUACCAACUGAGUAGGAGCUGGAAACGCAGACAAGGAGACAGAUGGUGAUGUUCUGCUGGCAAACCACUUCUCACUAGCAGACCUUCAUCUGGUGCAGGGGGACUGGUCAAAGGCUUCCUCUCCUCAAGGUGGCAAGGUCUUGGAGAUUCUGGAACAUCAGUCUUCCCUCAGGUGGAUUGCUGAUAAAAGGUGAGG